rnacentral:rRNA from 1 species
ACUCAAAUGAAUAGACGGGGACCCGCACAAGCGGUGGAGCGUGUGGUUUAAUUCGAUGCUACGCGAAGAACCUUACCAGGGUUUGACAUCCCGAGAAGUCUGCCGAAAGGCGGAUGUGCCGCAAGGAACUCGGUGACAGGUGCUGCAUGGCUGUCUUCAGCUCGUGUCGUGAGAUGUUUGGUUAAGUCCAUCAACGAGCGCAACCCUCGUAGCCAGUUGUAUUUUCUGGCUAGACUGCCUCAGUAAUGGGGAGGAAGGAGAGGACGAAGUCUGGUCCGUAUUGCCCUUAUAUCCUGGGCGACACACACGCUACAAUGGCCGGUACAAUGGGCUGCUAAGCUGCGAAGCGGAGCUAAUCCCAUCAAAACCGGUCUCAGUUCGGAUUGUAGGCUGAAACUCGCCUGCAUGAAGUCGGAAUCGCUAGUAAAUGCAGGUCAGAACACUGCAUUGAAUACGUUCCCGGGUCUUGCACACACCGCCCGU